rnacentral:rRNA from 1 species
GAUGAACGCUGGCGGCGUGCCUAAUACAUGCAAGUCGAGCGAAUUGACAGAGGUGCUUGCACCUCUCGAUUUUAGCGGCGGACGGGUGAGUAACACGUGGGUAACCUACCUAUAAGACUGGGAUAACUUCGGGAAACCGGAGCUAAUACCGGAUAAUAUUUAGAUUCGCAUGAAGCAAUAGUGAAAGACGGUUCUGCUGUCACUUAUAGAUGGACCUGCGGUGUAGUAGCUAGUUGGUGAGGUAACGGCUCACCAAGGCAACGAUACAUAGCCGACCUGAGAGGGUGAUCGGCCACACUGGGACUGAGACACGGCCCAGACUCCUACGGGAGGCAGCAGUAGGGAAUCUUCCGCAAUGGACGAAAGUCUGACGGAGCAACGCCGCGUGAGUGAAGAAGGUUUUCGGAUCGUAAAACUCUGUUGUAAGGGAAGAACAAGUACGUUAGUAACUGAACGUACCUUGACGGUACCUUACCAGAAAGCCACGGCUAACUACGUGCCAGCAGCCGCCGUAACAC